rnacentral:lncRNA from 1 species
CCAGAGAAGCGCAAACUCAUCCAGCAGCAGCUUGUUCUCCUUUUACAUGCUCACAAGUGCCAGCGCCGGGAGCAAGCUAAUGGAGAAGUGAGGCAGUGCAAUCUUCCCCACUGUCGCACCAUGAAAAAUGUUCUAAACCAUAUGACACAUUGUCAGUCAGGCAAAUCCUGUCAAGUGGCACAUUGUGCGUCUUCUCGACAAAUCAUUUCACACUGGAAAAAUUGCACAAGGCAUGAUUGUCCUGUGUGUCUUCCUCUCAAAAAUGCUGGGGAUAAGCGAAAUCAACAGU